AACUGAUACUACCUGCGGGAACCUGCGGAAGGAUCAUUAAAAAUGCUUUUAAGCAUCCACCUCUUGUGCACAGACCAACUGUUACCUUGGCGUUGCUUCAUAUCCAGCAAUGAAUAUGACUUGAUUUUUUGGCCGGAAUUGAUUUUGUUAUUAGUUCCUUGCCGAGAAAUUAAGCGGCACGCCGAAGGAUUCCAUAAACGUUAAACUUUGUCUAAACUAUCCUUUUUUUAUUUUUUGCAA
rnacentral:misc_RNA from 1 species